GACGUAGGGGGCAAGCGUUGUUCGGAAUUAUUGGGCGUAAAGCGCUCGUAGGCGGGACAGGAAGUUCGUGUUGAAAGACCUCGGCUCAACUGAGGGACCGGCUCGAAUACUCUUGUUCUUGAGGCAAUCAGAGGGUGAUGGAAUUCCCGGUGUAGCGGUGAAAUGCGUAGAUAUCAGGAGGGACACCAAUGGCGAAGGCAGCUCGCUGGGACGGUACUGACACUGAGACGCGAAAGCGUGGGGAGCAAACAGG
rnacentral:rRNA from 1 species